GACGACGCUGGCGGCGUGCUUAACACAUGCAAGUCGAACGGAAAGGCCCAGCUUGCUGGGUACUCGAGUGGCGAACGGGUGAGUAACACGUGGGUGAUCUGCCUUGCACUCUGGGAUAAGCCUGGGAAACUGGGUCUAAUACCGGAUAUGACCUCUGACUGCAUGGUUGGGGGUGGAAAGCUUUUGCGGUGUGAGAUGGGCCCGCGGCCUAUCAGCUUGUUGGUGAGGUAAUGGCUCACCAAGGCGACGACGGGUAGCCGACCUGAGAGGGUGAUCGGCCACACUGGGACUGAGACACGGCCCAGACUCCUACGGGAGGCAGCAGUGGGGAAUAUUGCACAAUGGGCGCAAGCCUGAUGCAGCGACGCCGCGUGGGGGAUGACGGCCUUCGGGUUGUAAACUCCUUUCGCCAGGGACGAAGCGCAAGUGACGGUACCUGGAGAAGAAGCACCGGCCAACUACGUG
rnacentral:rRNA from 1 species